rnacentral:lncRNA from 1 species
GCCACAGAUGUGGAACAAAAUCAUUCUUUACCCAACAGCUUUUUUUUUUUUUUUUCCUUGGGACUGAGUCUCGCUCUGUCUCCAGGCUGGAGUGCAGUGUGGGACGAUCUCGGCUCACUGCAACCUCCGCCUACCGGGUUCAAGCAAUUCUUCUGCCUUAGCCUCCCAAGUAGCUGGGACUACAGGUGCGCACCACCAUGCCCAGCUUGUAAUUCUGGUCUCGAAUUUCCCAAAUCUGAUCUUUUGCUUUUUUUUUUUUCUUUCUUUCUUUCUUUUGAGACAGAGUUUCACUUGUCCAGGCUGGGGUGCAGUGGCGUGAUCUCCACUCACUGCAACCUCGGUCUCCUGGGUUCAAGCAAUCUUCCUGCCUCAGCCUCCAGAGUAUCUGGGACUACAGGUGCGCACUACCAUGCCUGGCUAAUUUUUUUUGUUUUGUUUUGUUUUUGAGAUGGAGUUUCACCCUUGUUGCCCAGGCUGGAGUGCAAUGGCGCGAUCUUGGCUCACCACAACCUCCGCCUCCCAGGUUCAAGCGAUUCUCCUGCCUCAGCCUCCUGAGUAGCUGGGAUUACAGGUGCCCACCACCAUGCCUGGCUAAUUUUUUGUAUUUUUAGUAGAGAUGAGGUUUCACUCUGUUGCCCAGGCUGGUUUUGAACUCCCGAGCUCAGGCAAUCCACCUACUUUGGCCUCCCAAAGUGCUAGGAUUGUAGGCGUGAGCCACCGUGCCCAGCCAAUUUUUGUAUUUUUUGUACAGAUGGAGUUUCACCAUGUUGCCCAGGCUGAGAUCUUGAACUCGUGAGUUCAAGUGAUCCUCCCACCUUGGCCUCCGAAAAUGCUGGGACUACAGGUGUGAGCCACCGAGCCUGGCCUGCACUAUUUUUAAAAAUUAAUUUCUUUUUUUUUUUUUGAGGUGGAGUCUUUCUUUGUCACCAAGGCUGGAGUGCAGUGGUGUGAUCUCAGCUCACUGCAACUUCCUUUUUUUCUUUUUUGAGGUGGAGUCUCACUCUUGUUACCCAGGCUGGAGUGCAAUGGCAUGAUCUCGGCUCACUGUAACUUCUGCUUCCUGGGUUCGAGCGAUUCUCCUGCCUUGGCCUCCUGAGUAGCUGGGAUUACAGGUGCCCACCACCACAUCCAGCUAAUUUUUUUAUUUUUAGUAUAAACAGCGUUUCACCAUGUUGGCCAGGCUGGUCUCGAACUCCCAACCUCAGGUGAUCCGCCUUCCUUGGCCUCCCAAAGUGCUGGGAUUACAGGUGUGAGCCACAGAGCCUGGCCAAUUUCUUUAAUUGACAAUAGUUAUAUGUAUUUAUUGGGUACGAUGUGAUGUUUUUUUUUUUUUUUUUUUUUUUUUUUUUGAGACAGAGUCUCGCGCUGUGUCACCCAGGCUGGAGUGCAGUGGCGCGAUCUCGGCUCACUGCAAGCUCCGCCUCCCAGGUUCAGGCCAUUCUCCUGCCUCAGCCUCCGAGUAGCUGGGACUACAGGCGCCCGCCACCACGCCCGGCUAGUUUUUUGUAUUUUUAGUAGAGACGGGGUUUCACCAUGUUAGCCAGGAUGGUCUCGAUCUCCUGACCUCGUGAUCCGCCCGCCUCGGCCUCCCAAAGUGCUGGGAUUACAGGCUUGAGCCACCGCGCCCGGCCGAUGUUUUGAUAUAUAUACACACACACACAUUGUAGAAAGAUUAAAUCAAGCUGAUUAACAUAUCUAUCACCUCACCUCCUUCUCAUUUUUUCUGGUGAGGAUGUUUAAAAUCUAUUCUUUUAGCAGUUUUGAAAUACACAUUGUUAUUAACUAUGGUGGCCAUGCUGUGCAAUGGAUCACUACAAGUUUUUCCUGCUAUCUAACUGAAACUUUGUACCCUUUAACCAAUAACUCCCCUUUCUCCAUCUUUCCUGCUCCCCCAGCCUCGUAACUGCCUGCUUCUGUGGCCUCUCUGCUUCUAUGAGAUUGACUUUUUAAGAUUACACAUAUGGGCUGGGUGCAGUGGCUCACGCCUGUAAUUCUAACACUUUGGGAGCCCAAGGUGGGUGAAUCACUUGAGGUCAGGAGUUCGAGACCAGCCUGGCCAACAUGGUGAGACCCUGUCUCUACUAAAAAUACAAAAAAUUAGCCGGGCAUGGUGGUGUGCGCCUGUCAUCCCAGCUACUCAGGAGGCUGAGGCAGAGGACUGCUUGAACCUGGGAGGCAGAGGUUGCAGUGAGUUGAGAUAGUGCCACUACACUCCAGCCUGGGUGACGGAGUGAGACUCCAUCUCAAAAAAAAAAAAAAUACAAAACAAAAAAAGAUUCCACAUAUGACUGAGAUCAUGUGAUAUUUUCCUUUCUGUGCCUGGCUUAUUUCACUUAACAUAAUGUCCUCCAAGUUCAUCCAUAUUGUGCUAAAUGACAGAAUUUUCUUUUUUAAAGCUGUAUAAUAUUUUAUUGUGUAUAUGUACCACAUUUUCUUUACCCAUUUACCUACUGAUGGACACUUAGGUCACUUCCAUGUCUUGGCGACUGUGAAUAGUGUUGCAGUGAACAUGGGAGUGCAGAUAGCUCUUCACAUACUGACUUCAGAUAAUUUGGGUAAAUACCCAGAAGUGGAAUUGCUAGAUCGUACGGUAAUUCUAUUUUUAAUUUCUUGAGGAACUU